CGUUCUCAGGGCGGAGUGAAAUUCUCCACCGGUGGUGAUUUUAAUAAAAUAAGUCCACGAGCAUGAUAAUGUUGAUUUGGUGAAAUUCCAAAACCGACGGUGAUAGUCCGGAUGGAAGAGAAG
rnacentral:ncRNA from 1 species